CAGCGAAGACGAAAUUUACACUGAUGAACAGUUUCAUGAUUUAUUCUGACAUUCUGACGAUUACAAGUCAGAGUUUGAUGGACUUGUAUAGGUCAAACAAUGUUUGUGCUAUUUUGGAGGACAUGAAUAAGAAUUUCCAGUAAUAAAUUUAAGGGAUUCGUUACAGUUAAUAAACAAAAUGUUCCUGUUCAUCCAGUUUUUAGC